rnacentral:lncRNA from 1 species
CCCGCCCCGCGCCGCCUCUCUGGUUUGUGCGCCCGUCGCAGGUCGCAGGCCUCUUUGUCAGCUGGAGUUGCGCGGGCUGACGCGCCACUAUGUAGCGGGUUUCGGGCGGGCCACGCGUGCGGGACAGGAACCCAACCCCAGCCGACCUUGAGCUCCAGGAGUUCGUCUCUUACGUCUGCGGAAGUGCAGCUGCCUCAGUUCUUAGCGCAGCUCUACAAGUUUCACGCUGUUUAAGUCAUGAACCUACAAAAGCCUGUGAAAAAAUCUUUGAAGAUGCUCAGCUUGUUUCAGUCUGAAAUUUCUCCAAGACCAAUGAACAAAACAGGAUCAUGCCCUGAAUACACACCCAAGCUGCAGGCUCCUGCUUAGCCCUAUUUUGGUUUGGCCUCCAUGAGAUCUUCAGCCACAAUAGCAGGAGAUAAAAAUCUUCCUAGAAGCUUUCAUCAGCUGCAAGUUUUCUUACAGAAUGAAACUUUUCUGCUAUUUUUCUCAUAGUUAAUUGGCUAUUUGAGAAAACCGAAUUUCUGGCUCUCAGCAUUUAAUUGGAUUCUGUGGGUGACUGGAUGACCGCUUUGCACAUCACCAUGGGUAUCAUCCUUACCUUCUUUAAACCUUUUGUGCCAGUCAAAAAUUCUUGCUCUUGAUAUGUCAUCACCGGAAACUACUUUUUUUUUUUGUUUCUCUUUUGUGACAGGGUCUUCCUCUGUCACCCAGGCUGGAUGGAGUAUAGUGGAACAAUCAUAGUUCACUGCGGCCUUGGUACCCUAGGCUCAAGCGAUCCUCCCACCUCAGCCUCCUGAGUAGGUGGGACCACAGGUGUGUACCACCAGACCUGGCUAAUUUUGUUAUUGUUGUUUUUUAUAGAGGUGGGGGGGUCUCCCUAUGUUGCCCAGGCCUGUCUUGAACUCACGGGCUCAAGUGAUCCUCCUGCCUCAGCCUCCCAAAGUUCUGGGAUUACAGGGGUGAGCCACUGGACCCAGCCAGAAACUACUUUUAACAGUUCUAAUUGCCACUUGUCUUGGCUGUAUAUUCAGAAAUA